rnacentral:rRNA from 1 species
AGAACUUAGCAGAGAUGCUUUGGUGCCUUCGGGAACUCUGAGACAGGUGCUGCAUGGCUGUCGUCAGCUCGUGUUGUGAAAUGUUGGGUUAAGUCCCGCAACGAGCGCAACCCUUUAUCCUUUGUUGCCAGCGGUCCGGCCGGGAACUCAAAGGAGACUGCCAGUGAUAAACUGGAGGAAGGUGGGAUGACGUCAAGUCAUCAUGGCCCUUACGAGUAGGGCUACACACGUGCUACAAUGGCGCAUACAAAGAGAAGCGACCUCGCGAGAGCAAGCGGACCUCAUAAAGUGCGUCGUAGUCCGGAUUGGAGUCUGCAACUCGACUCCAUGAAGUCGGAAUCGCUAGUAAUCGUAGAUCAGAAUGCUACGGUGAAUACGUUCCCGGGCCUUGUACACACCGCCCGUCACACCAUGGGAGUGGGUUGCAAAAGAAGUAGGUAGCUUAACCUUCGGGAGGGCGCUUACCACUUUGUGAUUCAUGACUGGGGUGAAGUCGUAACAAGGUAAGCGUAGCGAG